UAAAAAACUAAUUACAGUAAUAAUUUCAAAUUUUCAAAAAAUUACAAAUUAAUCACAAAUAUAUAAUUCAAAUUCAAAACUAAAAAGGCCAAAAAAAAAAAACCAUUCAAUGAUUAUUGGAACUCAAUCAGCCUGCUCACAUUCAUCAAAUUGUUUUGGAAGAUAAAUUGUCCUUUUUUAUGCACGUUACUUUUUUUCUUUUUCUUUUUUUUUCCUCUUCUCCAUCUCUCUCCCCCAGUCACAUAGAGGAAAAAGGGAGAACAAAAAGAUUAAAUCAUAAAAAACCUGGAUUCAGAUUCUUCAUAACUGCACACUUUUGAAUUCCACUUGAAUUUUUCAUGUUUUCGCAUGAAAAUAACCAGAUCCAAGAAUCUUGAUUAAACGGGUGUUCUGGGUGUUAGCAAAUCUAUCAUGACUUCAGAUUCAAUAUCUAAUUCAAAGCCUGCUCCAAUUUCAUCCAAAUAGGAAGACGAGUUACCAAAUUCAACCGCUGCUCAUUUUCCCUGAGAGGCUGAGACACGGAAUCUUCCUCCUUAAUCUCCCUGUCAUUGAAAGAAUAUACCAACAGGAUUCUAUUCGUUUGUCUAAUUCUUUCCACAGGCAUUGCUCUCUCUGCUGCUUUUGCCUUUGUCUUUUCUAUUCUUCUCCUCUUUUGCUUCAUCAUCGCCAUCAGCAACUUCUCAAUCCCUUGAUCAAGUCUCGAGGCCACUCACAAAGCUCAAGCACCCAGUUGUUUUGUUAAUAUUCUCAGAUGGUUUUCGAUUCGGGUACCAAUUCAAGACCUACACUCCAAAUAUCAAACAGAUUGAUUAUAAAUGGUACUGAAGUCAAGCUGGGUUUGAUUCCACUGUUUCCGUCGCUGACUUUUCCGAACCAUUACUCAAUUGUCACGGGUUUGUAUCCACUGAUUUUGGUAGUUGGGCUUGCCAAAGAGGCUUCGAACAUAGGAUGGAGGACG
rnacentral:lncRNA from 1 species